AGUAACUGGCAACAUCAGGUUAGCUGUGAGAAGGAGCUGCUCACACCAUAUGAAGUCAGUGCCGACUGGAAGUCUGAAGAGAGGGGGGUGUGUCACUUUGUCUGACAGCUGACUACCCUUGGGACGUUACUUUUUGCCUUUCAUUGUAUACAUUUUUGGUACACAAUGCCUGCAAAGAAGAAACAGUUUGCCAAGAACAUUAGCAGCAAGAGGAAAAGGCACAUAGAAGCAAUGAUAAGGUCUAUACAAGCUGCUGUGGUUGGUGAUGCCGCCACGAUGCUAGUACCACCACCCUCCUCUCAAGACCUGUCCUUGUUCACUGCUACUGAACUAUUGGAUAUUUCACGUUCAGAAACAAGGAAGACAAAAUAUAGGAGCCCCGCAAAUAUGCCCACCUCCACCACGGCUGCUACUACCACAACUACUACCACCACGGCUGCUACUACCACAACUACUACCUCCACUGCUGCUACUACCUCCACUGCUGCUACUACCACAACUACUACCUCCACUGCUACUACUACCACAACUACUACAGCGUUGUAUUAAAGGCAGAACGCAAAACUGUAAUGAAAGUCUGCAUCACCGCAUAUGGUGUUACUGCAAUAAAGCCAAAUAUCAAACCAAGAGGCAUGCUGAUUUCGCAGUCAGCCAUGCUGUUGCUGACUACAAUAGUGGAUAUGUGAGGAGCUGUCUGGACACAGCACUGGGCUACAAACGUUCAGCAGUGACUCAAAAACAACUUGAAUUAAUGGAGAAGAACAUGAAGGAACAACGGAAGCAAAGAGGAAUGAAGAGGAAAAGGGAGCUGGACACGUCCUACGAGCCUGGAGGACAUUAGAUAAUCAUGUGUCCACCUACAUCCAGUCAUAGAUUGAUUGGGAUGGAUUUUUAUGAUUGGCCGGCCACCAGAGAACUUCAGGACAAAGGGAUCUUCAUGAAACUUCAGGAAUAAUGUCUAUAUAACCAGUUCUACUCUCAAUAAACGUAUAAAGGCA